rnacentral:rRNA from 1 species
UACGUAGGGGGCUAGCGUUGUCCGGAUUCAUUGGGCGUAAAGAGCGUGUAGGCGGCCAGGUAGGUCAGCUGUGAAAACUGGAGGCUCAACCUUCAGACGUCGGCUGAAACCAUCUGGCUAGGGUCCGGGAGAGGAGAGUGGAAUUCCUGGUGUAGCGGUGAAAUGCGCAGAUAUCAGGAGGAACACCAGUAGCGAAGGCGGCUCGCUGGGCCAUUCCUGACGCUGAGACGCGAAAGCUAGGGGAGCGAACAGG